rnacentral:rRNA from 1 species
GACGAACGCUGGCGGCGUGCUUAACACAUGCAAGUCGAACGGAAAGGCCCUGCUUUUGUGGGGUGCUCGAGUGGCGAACGGGUGAGUAACACGUGAGUAACCUGCCCUUGACUUUGGGAUAACUUCAGGAAACUGGGGCUAAUACCGGAUAGGAGCUCCUGCUGCAUGGUGGUGGUUGGAAAGUUUCGGCGUUUGGGGAUGGACUCGCGGCUUAUCAGCUUGUUGGUGGGGUAGUGGCUUACCAAGGCUUUGACGGGUAGCCGGCCUGAGAGGGUGAACGGCCACAUUGGGCCUGAGGUACGGCCCAGACUCCUACGGGAGGCAGCAGUGGAGAAUAUUACACAAUGGGCGGAAGCCUGAUGCAGCAACGCCGCGUGCGGGAUGACGGCCUUCGGGUUGUAAACCGCUUUCGCCUGUGACGAAGCGUGAGUGACGGUAAUGGGUAAAGAAGCCCCGGCUAACUACGUG